GUGCUCGCUUCGGCAGCACAUAUACUAAAAAUUGGAACGAUACAGAGAAGAUUAGCAUGGCCCCCUGCGCAAGGGAUGACACGCAAAUUCAUGAAGCGUUCCAUAUUUAA
rnacentral:snRNA from 1 species